GAUGCGACCGCUGCCCGUCCCUCAUGGCGCUGCGUGUACCACGCCGAGAGGCAGGUUGGCGGCCCACUGCGCCCCUACCCUGAUGGCUGAUGCACGCCGUGCGACCGGCCGACAAGAUUGGUCUGUUGUUGCGCGCCUAGACCGGCAGGUGGGUUACUGGGGCAGGCUGUUGUGGACUACGGCCUGGAGAAUGAUGUGCUGCCCCUCGAGAAUACCAUUUCAGAAGGUCAGCAGAAAUCUUUGUGCACUCGUGCCAACCUUCUUACCGAAUACUUUUCCAUACUAAGCUAUAUUGUUCUCUCGAAUUAUCAUAAUCAUAUAUUGUAAUUUGUUCUUGCUAUUAGUGUGUUCUUACUGUGAGCAAAUUGAUUUUAUUUUGGCUUGAUUUGUACUAUACGAUGGUAGAGACCUUAUGUGAAAAUUUGACGACAAAUUCAACAUUCUUUUUAUAUUCCCUCCGUGUGGUAGGAUUUUUUUUUGCUCCUCAUUUGAUUGUUUAGCUUUUUUCUAUCCUCUUCCUUAUGUUUAGGUUGGAUAUGUUUCUCUUUGUUCCAGAUUAUUAGGACUGGUUUUGCAAAAAGCAUUUAUUUAUGUGUGACUAUUUUGUGAUGCUGCCUGUUUGUACAUGUACAAUCAAUUGAAAAACAACAUUUUUCUAUAUAGGAUGGUAUAGAUACUUAAGGUGUUCGUUUCUUCUCUGAUUAUGUAUUGUGUGCUUAAUUAAUUUUCCAUUCUCAGUCAUCAAAUUUUGUGCAUGAUCAUGAUUCAGAAGUGGAAAGACUUCAGAAUGCUUGCUGCAUUAGACAAUCAGCCUGAUCAAAGUUGCAAACGCCACUUGGUGCAUCUCUGUUGGUGGACCUGUUAACAACGAGAUUACAGUGCUACUAUUCUGAAGUCUUAGUUUCAGAAAACUAAUCUCUCUCUCUCUCUCUCUCUCUCUCUCUCUCUCUCUCUCUCUCUCAAAAGAAGCAUCUAUAUAGUCUAUAAUAACUAAAUAGACUAAUCGACUUCUCUCAACAUGAAGGUGUUCAGGUUAUUACUUCUCUUCUACCAUGUCACUUUUAGGAGUAUCAAAUUGUAAGCAUCGACAGGUGCAAUACUAACAUCUUAGUUUCAGUCUUAGAAUGGGUGGCGGUUGUGAAGCAUUGAAAACACAGCAGCCGCCGCGUCCUUCCUGCUCUCCUUCACCUCCCGCAGAACCGCGCUCUAGGGAAAUUGUUCUUUCAUUCUUCAUAGAAUGAUUUCUUUAUCUGCCAUAUCACCAGCCCUGUGCUACUCCUGAAAGCUGAUGGUUCAGGAAGUCCGCGAAACUUGGAGAUGAUGGAAAUUGUGCCUCCCCUAAAUAUUGUUGUUGUAUGUGUUACAUAGCUCAAUUUUCAUCUUUAGAUGAUGAUGAAUUCUUUCCAGCCACGUAUGCCUUUAUUGGGUAUACAUGUAGAAUGUGCUCCAUUCCUGGAAUUGUGUGAAUACACAUCGUUUGGUAUACAGGUAGA